rnacentral:rRNA from 1 species
GAUGAACGCUGGCGGCGUGCCUAAUACAUGCAAGUCGAGCGAACGGACGAGAAGCUUGCUUCUCUGAUGUUAGCGGCGGACGGGUGAGUAACACGUGGAUAACCUACCUAUAAGACUGGGAUAACUUCGGGAAACCGGAGCUAAUACCGGAUGAUAUUUUGAACCGCAUGGUUCAAAAGUGAAAGACGGUCUUGCUGUCACUUAUAGAUGGAUCCGCGCUGCAUUAGCUAGUUGGUAAGGUAACGGCUUACCAAGGCAACGAUGCAUAGCCGACCUGAGAGGGUGAUCGGCCACACUGGAACGGAGACACGGUCCAGACGACUACGGGAGGCAGCAGUAGGGAAUCUUCCGCAAUGGGCGAAAGCCUGACGGAGCAACGCCGCGUGAGUGAUGAAGGUCUUCGGAUCGUAAAACUCUGUUAUUAGGGAAGAACAUAUGUGUAAGUAACUGUGCACAUCUUGACGGUACCUAAUCAGAAAGCCACGGCUAACUACGUG